GUAACAAAGCGACCCAGGAAUGCUUGGGCGUGCCUCCACCCACGCCGGCGUCGGCGGGCGUAUUUCGCCUCACAGUAGGUCGCCGCGACCCGUUGCUUUUGGGGACGUCGAAGGCCCGGACGGAUUGGUACCCUACCGGCUGGGGAUGCGGCUUCGGCUUCUCCUCUUGUCCGGUGGGCGAAACCGCCGGUGUCCUGGCUGCCCUGCGACGGUCGUAGAGACGAGCCCUCCCCUUCGGGGGGGCGGCUCUCGCGGCGUGCAAAAGGUCGGUGAUCCACCCGACCCGUCUUGAAACACGGACCAAGGAGUCUAACAUGUGUGCGAGUCAGUGGGCGCACUAAACCCAGAGGCGUAAUGAAAGUGACACGGGUUCGGCUGUCGCCUCGUGUGGCAGCCGGACUCAGGGCCGAUCCCUCACCGGUUGCCCUCGCCUCUCUCCCGCGUCUCGGUAAGCCGGGUGAGCUAUUUUCCCCGGCCGCUGCUGCGGGGCUCGGGGGGAGGCGGGGUGCGAUGGUGUCUGUAAAAAAGAGCCUGCUGUUGCAGGGGGGCGCAGGCCCGGGACUUGCCAGGACGCCGCGAGACUGUCACUUUGCUGUGAGGCUCUCGGGCCGAUCAGCGGGUCAUGCGUGCAGUCGGCAAGUACCAUGAGCAGACAUGUUGGGACCCGAAAGAUGGUGAACUAUGCCUGGCCAGGAUGAAGCCAGAGGAAACUCUGGUGGAGGUCCGUAGCGAUUCUGACGUGCAAAUCGAUCGUCGGAGCUGGGUAUAGGGGC
rnacentral:rRNA from 1 species